CUUGCCAAAUUAUAAGAGGUCCAGCCUGCCCAGUGACUCUGUUCAACGGCCGCGGUAUCCUAACCGUGCGAAGGUAGCGUAAUCACUUGUUCUUUAAAUGAGGACUAGUAUGAAUGGCCCCACGAGGGCUGCACUGUCUCCUUUUUCUAAUCAAUGAAACUAAUCUCCCCGUGAAGAAGCGGGGAUAACCAUAUAAGACGAGAAGACCCUAUGGAGCUUAAAACAACUGAAACAUUUGCUUUUACCUUAACUGCCCCCGAGCUCUUUAUUUUACCUAAGCAUUUUUAUUUCUAGUUUUAGGUUGGGGUGACCACGGAGCAAAACUAAACCUCCACGAAGAAAUGAAUACUUUUUAAGCCACAAACUACUUUUUUAAGCAUCAACAAAUUGACCUUCAUUGACCCAAUAUAUUGAUCAACGAAC
rnacentral:rRNA from 1 species